UCCUGUAGUGAUCUUUCUCGCUGUAGCUUUGGGAAUGUGUGUGGUUGUGAUCUUUGCUCAUGUCGUAAGCUAUAAAGGGAGAAACUGUGAUUACUGCAGUGUGAGAUCUCAUCAAUGUUCUGUUGUAGAGAAAACACUGAAUCAGGGCCGUUCUGCUGUCGAGGUCAAUUUCUCUGCUUUACAUUUCAAAGACAGGAAACUCAAACCACAAGAUAGUGUGUAUUCUGAAGUGAUAUACUCCUCUUUUGCUUAGAAUAUAUUUCAGUAAUGCUUUAUAUUGAGCAUGAUAUUACUGCACCCGUCGCUCACUGUUUCAUGAAUGCAUUGAUCAAUAGUAAAUCUAGAGCAAGCCUUACAUGUAUUAUUAUUAUUAACCUUUCUGUAGCUGUAAGUAGAAGAAUUCAGUGGUUUGAAGUAAAAGUAAGAGGAAAGAUCAGAUGAAAGCUCAUAACAUCUGAAAUCACU